AUGUCGUCAUCCUCCUCUGCCCCAGCGGCCGCCGUGCCGACGUCGACCCGCCUCAUCCUGGUGCACGGCACGGGCCACGGCGGGUGGUGCUGGUACAAGGUGGCCACCCUCCUCCGCGCCGCGGGGCACCGCGUCGACGCGCCGGACCUCGCGGCAUGCGGCUCCGACGCGCGCCGGCUGAGCGACGCGCCCACCUUCGAGGACUACACGCGCCCCCUGCUCGACGCGCUCCGGGACCUCCCGGACGGCGAGCGGGCGGUGCUCGUGGGCCACAGCUUCGGCGGCAUGAGCAUCGCGCUCGCCGCCGAGGAGUUCCCCGACAAGGUCGCGGCCGCCGUGUUCCUCACCGCCUUCAUGCCCGACUGCGACGGCCCGCGCACCCGCGUCAUCGAGGAGGUUCCCGUGUCCGACUGGAUGGACAGCGUGGUCGACGAGGAGCACGCCCCGCCGUCGGUGUUCCUCGGCCCCGAGUUCGUGCGCCGGAAGCUCUACCAGCUGACUUCCGAGGAGGACUACACGCUGUGCCAGAGCCUGGCGCGGGUGAGCUCCUACUACGUGGCCGACCAGCAGCAACGGCCGCCGUUCAGCGCCGCCCGGUAUGGCGCGGUGACCAAGGUCUACGUGAUCGCCAAGCAGGACCUGGCCAUGGUCGAGGAGUACCAGAGGCAGAUGAUCGCAGGCAUCCCCGUGGCUGAGGUGAGGGAGAUGGCUGAUGCCGACCACAUGGCCAUGCUCUCCGCGCCGGAGGAACUGGCGGGCCACCUCGCCGACAUCGCCAACAACUACACUUAA
rnacentral:rRNA from 1 species